rnacentral:rRNA from 1 species
AUUGAACGCUGGCGGCACGCCUAACACAUGCAAGUCGAGCGGCAGCAUGCUUAGUAGCAAUACUAAGUGAUGGCGAGCGGCGGACGGAUGAGGAACACGUAGGAACCUGCCCAAGAGAGGGGGAUAACUAAGGGAAACUUUAGCUAAUACCGCAUAGUCUCUGAGGAGAAAAGUUGCCCGUAAGGGUAGCGCUUUUGGAGGUGCCUGCGUCCGAUUAGCUAGUUGGUGAGGUAAUAGCUCACCAAGGCGAUGAUCGGUAACUGGUCUGAGAGGACGACCAGUCACACUGGGACUGAGACACGGCCCAGACUCCUACGGGAGGCAGCAGUGGGGAAUCUUGGACAAUGGGGGCAACCCUGAUCCAGCGAUGCCGCGUGGGUGAAGAAGGCCUUCGGGUUGUAAAACCCUUUAGGCGGGGAAGAAGAAUAUGGGAUGAAUAAUCCUGUAUUUUGACGGUACCCGCAGAAUAAGCACCGGCAAACUCUGUGCCAGCCGCCGCCGUAA